AGCUCCAUAAGCUUAUAUUAAUGCUGUUGCGGUUAAAAAGCUCGUAGUUGGAUCUCGGCGGGCGGGGGGCGGUGCGGCUCUCGCCGUUCUACUGCCCCUGGGCGUUUUCGGGUCGCAAGGCCCGGCGUCCUUUGCAUGCCCCGCGAAUGUGUUGCCGGAGGCGCGCGGGUGCUCUUGACCGAGUGUCCGCGUCGCGCCGGCAGGUUUACUUUGAAAAAAUUAGAGUGCUCCAAGCAGGCUUUGUACGCCUGGAUAGUCGUGCAUGGAAUAAUGGAAUAGGACGUCGUUUCUAUUUUGUUGGUUUUCGGAAAUCGACGUAAUGAUUAGUAGGGACAGUCGGGGGCAUUGGUAUUCAGGCGACAGAGGUGAAAUUCUUGGACCGUCUGAAGACCAACUACUGCGAAAGCAUUUGCCAAGAAUGUUUUCA
rnacentral:rRNA from 1 species